GGCGUGCGCCACCACGCCCGGCAAGAGCUUGUUUUUAAAGCAUACUUGUACCCAGCUCUGGGACUUGGUUGUAUGGCAAUAUCUCUCUGGCUUACUGUGGGAUCUAGUAUGGUGUUUGAGUGGGUAAGGACUGAACAUGUGUUGAGUCAGUGUGAGAUCCCUGGGGCUUCCUGGGCUCAGGCCACACCUAGGACUGGUCAGACAGAAAUCAAGACUGUUGAAAUGUGUUCCUGUGCAUACUGAUAUGCCAGAAAUGGCUGGUUUUGUAUAAUUUUCUCCUGAAAAGACAACAAAUGUAGGGAGUUUGACAAGGGAUAACUUAAGUUGUGAACCUUGAGUUUUGACAUCAUGAGGAGAUUGAGUCCCUUGAUGUAUACACUCUUAAGCUCAGCUCCCUCAUGGAAGACUUGACAGUUUUUUGUUUUUGUUUUUUUCCACACAAACCAUUGUGAUCACAUUAGGAAGUGGUCCAGUUUUGCCUGUUCAUCUACACCCCAUGAUGUGGUGGGCCCUGGCUGGGUUUGGACAUUUUCGUGCCAGUGGCUGGGCAGAGGCUAAAGAAGGGAUGGCAAGGGUGGUCUUUUUUGUCUUGUUUUGUUUUGUUUUAUUUCAAUACAAAAAAGAAGCAUCUGGUAGUUAGGGAUGCAGGAGGGAAAUGGAAAAGUCAGGAAGUUCUAUGGAUACCAAGAAGAAACAGUACAGCCCAGCUGCUGCUGCUUCUUGCCAAGGCUGUGGCUGCCUUGGCCUUAAGGUGACAAGAGAAUAGCAUUUUCCUCCACAUGGUUAACUUGGGCCUCUGAAUCAGUCUCUGGUUGCUUGGUCUUUCUUUGUGCAUGGAGAACUCUUAGCAGGCUUGAACAUAGCUGGGAGACUCCCUUCCUAGAGUUCCUUAGUUUUUCCUUUGGCUACCUUGGGGGUUUUCUAGAGAUUGCCUAUAUUAUGGUUGUCUCCAAAUGCUCAUUUGUCUUGACAGCUGCACCUUUGGGGGAGUUUUGCUGACUCUAAGAGGCAGCUGUCCUUCAGAGCAUCCCUUUCAUUGCAGAGUACCACCAGCAUCAGUGUGUUGUGCUUUGUAAGAUGUGCAUCCCUCUCCAAACAGUUCAUCCCUCUCCACUCUUUCUAGGCCCUCAGCCAAGCACCGCUCUGGAGGUUUGAAAAUUAAAGACUAGUGGGGUUCCUCCAGGCUUGGCAGGCCAGUAGUAACUUCCCCCUUGAGAGUUGGGGUUCAGGUAGGAGUGGUGACAUCUACUUACUUAGUACACCGAGCUAGAGAAUACCAUGCAUGUAUAAGCCCUUGUUGCAACAGCACAUAUCUUUUGCUGAGCUUCCUUUAUUUACAGCUGCUGGUUUUCUAAUAGCUGUGCAUCCUGUGAGUUAUAAUGUGAUACCCACAAGUCCUUACACCCAGUUAAAGCCAGUCCUUAGAAGCAUCCGCUGCCCUUGUCCACUUCUGAUGAUGUGGUACAGGUCACUGGGAUGGCCUCUUUUCUGCAGGACCUCAGCCUCACUCAGGCUUUGACCACAAGCAGCUGCUUCUUCCUUGGCAUCUUCCCUUCUCUGAAGGGCACUUGCAUUAGGCAUGUCUUACAGGGAGACCAUGUUCUCAUGUUUCCUGAUAUCUGUGAGUUUGCUCUCAUUAGCCAAAAGAACAUAGGCUUUGCAGGGCAUCUAAUCAUUGAGUCUCUAUUACUUGUUUUUCCUUCGUUGAAAAGAAAGGUCUCCUGUCUAGCACAGUUCAAAAUGUGCCACUUACUGCUUUUGAUACCUUACUUAAUCCACACCUGCCCUAAAAUAAAUCAUCCUGGUGCUUUCAUUAGGAGGGAGUGUCCCAUGGGUGUAUCCUGGGAGGUGCUAUCCCUUCCACCUGCUGCGUAGUGCUGUCAAACCAUUUGUAGGGCUUCCUCAGCCCCGCCGUUUCUCUAGAGCACAAAGUUAGGAGGGUUCUGCUGGAAUAGCAAUGGCCGCUUUUAUCAAGGGUCAUGAGAGACUGAUGAGUUCAUGCACUAUGUGGAGAGACUUGCCAUUAGCUGGAGUCCCCAAAGUGUCUGUUGCUCUCUUGACCUGGUGAAGGCAGGGGCCACAUCAAGACUCAGUCAGGCUCAACACAGGCAGCCAGGGGACCAGGAUCUCAUGUGCUGGUCUGGCCAGCAGGACACUUACCAACAGCUGUCUUUUCCCCACCUCAGAAUAGCAUUCCUUUCGAACACCACGGCAAGUAGCUGCUCGUCUCCAUCGGAAGGCAGCACUGGAUUCCCGGUCGGGUGGCUUCCAGUGGUCUUCAGUCUGUCGUGCACCGAUGAGAACUCUCCUUUUUGCUGUGAAGGGCAGACAAUGCAUGGCUGAUCUACUCUGUUACCAAUGGCUUUACUAGUGACACGCCCCCCGGUCUAAACCCGAAAUGUUAACGCCGGGAGCUCUCCAGGCCACUCACCCAGCGAUGCUCAUGGGGAAUCAAAACACAAACUAAAUGGACAGGCUCCAAGAGCUGCCAUCGCCAGGGGCUGCCACCGUGGCCCCAUGUGAGUUCAGUUAUCAUGGGGCUGGAAUGAAGAGCAGAGGCUGGGAGACCAUUGCAGAGAGAACCCGACUCCCUCUGAAGAGCCUCUCAGCUCCCACCAGUGGUGGCGGACCUGCACUCCCUGACGAUCCCACCGCAGCUACCAGUCUUCUACUUGGUUAAGACAGUUUUGUAUCAUUUUGCUAAAAAUUACUGGCUUAAAUCUGUGUAAAGAAUUCUGUCUUUUUAUUGUUUCUUUCUUGUCUGUUUUUGCGGUCUUAAACAAAAAAGAUGUUGACCUUAAAGAAUCCUGAGACAUGCUGGCUUGGAGCUUCUGUGUAAAAUGGAGGCAGGCAAGAGAGGGGCACAUGUGAGUGUCAAGGAUGUGUGUUUUGUUUGUUUUGUUUUCUUGUGUUGUGCUGUUCACUUUGGAAAGGAAAUACUCAUCAGUUGUGUGUGCGUGUGUGUCUUGUGGGCUCCCAUCAGCCUAAUUUGGGCAUCUUGCUUACCCUUCCCCACUAUAAACUGAUAUGCCUGUAAUCAUCAGAGCAGGUAGUUCAACUGCCAUGGAGCGAGGGUGUGCCAGGUAUAUUCUCAGCAAGGCUCUAUGGAAUGAUGUUCUUCCCAAAGGAGGCAAGAAGGAAGUCAAAACUCUGAAGAACUCACAUGCGGAGGCCUUGAGAUCCCUAUAGGCUACUUGGAGCAUUCCAAGAUUCAAAGCUGACCUUGUGUUUCUGGUUUCUGGGGAGAGGAUUGCUGUUUUGGUAGUGUUGGUUGCCUCUAUGCCUUUGAACUUGGGAAGUUGCUGAACAGACUGAGUACUCCCAUGCAGAUGCCACUUAGGUCUAUCACCUCCUCUCUGCUCAGAGCCCCGGGAGCAGGCUGUCCUAGACACCAUGGUUUGCCCAGAGGGACCAGUGGCCAAAGGGAAUCAACCCUGAAGUGCCAAGAAGCAGGUGACGCCUACCACACGCUGCUUCGUGAUCUUCAACUGGACACAUCAGCGGGCUGGGCUGCUCUGCUGCUGGCGGUUAGGAUGCCAACAUGCUCUUCCCACCAUGUGCACCGGAUAUGAAGACAGCAGGACCUGAGCUCCCAUCUGAGAAAUGGGAUGUAGUACAUGUAUGGGGUCCAUCUCUCAUUUCUUCCUGUCAGCCUGUGGAGAGUUAUGCUGGGUACUAUACUGGCCACCAUGGCUUCUCCUUUCUUCCCAGAGUUCCCUGGUACUUGAGUACUGGCCUGGGGUAGGGGGCGGGUCACACAUCCCAGAAUGUGGCUAUUAGUUGUGCCAGCCAGCCAUCUGAGCCUGUGGGUGCUUUCUGAGUCCUGAGCUGGUUCCUCUGCAAGCAUUUUAGGGUGCAGGGACUUGACUAGGUGGGACUGUGUGUCUGGGAGUGCAGAGGGAGGUUGGGAGGGUUGGGCAAGGUUGAGAUUUUUGUUGCAAAUUCUUUAUCAUCAGAGUUGGGCCUCCUCUCUUCAUUGGCUGGCCUGCCUGGCAAGUGUUCUUUGUAGAUACCUGUGGUGCCGGAGGGGUGUCAGGGUGGCCUUGAGACUGGUCCGGGUUCGGCCUGGCCCUGUUGGGUUGCGCUGAGAUUAGGUCCGUCGGAGGUCCUCCAGGGUGUGACUCUGACGGUUCUUGCCUAACAUUUAAUCCCAUCAUCACUCGCAGGAAGCGUAGUUAGAAUGUGUGUAUCAACCUGUGUCUUGGUGACCAGUCUGAGCUGUGCGUUUGUACUCCCACUGUAUUUGUGUACUUUAACAAUUGUGUAAAUAAUAAAUUCAUAAUGACUUCUACCUUUCCUCCCUCCCCCUUGUGUGGUCUUUCUUUCAGCAGCUGAGUUUUCAGUAUGUAAGCCAUAUGGAAGUUAACUUGGUGUGGGUGCUGGCUCUGAGAUUAAGACAGUCUCUUUCUGUAGCCCAGGCUGUCCUGGAACUGAGUGAUUCUUCUGCCUCAACCUUCUGACUGUUGGUAUUAAAGACCCAGUAAAACAACUUGUUCAGGAUGAUAGUCCUGCUUGUCCUUUCUCAGCCUAUAAGUAUUGGAAAGCUAGUUGGAGUAGGAGCCAAAAAGAUGGCUCCCACUUGGACUCUGGGGUGUAUGGGUGGAUAUUCUUAUGAGUUUACUUAGGGAUGUUGUGAUGGUUCUGUCAGCCCUUCUCCACUCACCUUAUAAGCACCUUUUGAGAUAGAAGCCCCUAACCUACAUAACCCUCUGUGCUAGUGCCUUAGAUUUUCACCUUGCUAGGGAGGGGAGCUGAGGUGGGUGUGUCCCACUGUUCCUGGCAUGCACAUGAGUUUUCUACAGCAGCACCCUUUUGAGGCACAGGGAAAAGCUAUCAGGUUGCUGGAACUAGGUCUGUUCAUGUUGUGGAGACCUGUCCUCUUGGGAAUUCUUUUUUAUUGUUUUUUUUAAGACAGGGCUUCUCUGUGUAGCUUUUGGAGCCUGUCCUGGAACUCACUCUGUAGACGAGGUUGGCCUUGAAUUCAGAGAUCCGCCUGCCUCUGCCUCCUGAGUGCUGAGAUUACAGGUGCCGCCGCCACCUGGCCUCUUGGGAAUUCUUAUCUGUCCCACAUCCUAAUGGGCUUGGCCAGUAGAACUUGGAGGCUCAGUUGUAGCAGUCAAGUGCUGGCAGGAUUUAUGGCCAAAACCCACUUAGUUCCCUGUGUGUGGCAGGUGUGGACGUGCUAGAGAGGGAAACUCCCAGAACCAUGCCUGAGUUCUUGCCCCUCUAACCCCACCCUCAGCUUGCCAGUCUCUUCCAAGUUAGUUACUCUUCAGCCAUUCUGCCUGUACUUUGAGCAUCCCAAGUUGGCUUCUGGCCUGCUUGGUGAAUUCCAGAAGGGACUGUUGUUCCACUGUCCCUCAUUAGCUAGGACAAUGGUUUUCAACCUAUGUAUGGGUCAUGACCCCUUUGACAACCCUCUUAUCUCCAAAAAUAUUUGCAUUGCAAUUCAUAAUAGCAAAAUUACAGUUAUGAAGUAGGAAUGAAAAUUAAUUUUAUGGUUGGGGAUCACUGCAAAAUAGGAACUGUAUUAAAGGGCCAUGGCCUUAUGAAGGUUGAGAACCACUGAAAUAGGAGAUGAAAUUAGUGCCAGCUUUGCCUAUAUUGGCACUUCCCUGAGUCUAGAGCUCCCUUCUGUUGCAGCCAGGCAAAGAACAGGUCCUAUAAGCAAUCCACUGUUAGGUACUACUUUUCACUCUCCUGUAAAGGUGCUUGUGCUAGAGGUGAAAGGAGCUGGUCUUGGAACCAGAGUCUGGAUGAACUGCACAUCCAAGAGGCCAUUGUCUACUCUGGAGACUGGGUGGUCCCACAAACAGCCGUGCGUCUGGGCAGCUGCCUUCAGAAGCCCACCCUGAAUUUUUCAGAUGGUGUAGAAUCACUAGCCAGUAGGCUGUUACUUGUCAUUCACAUACUUAGCUCUGUGUGUUCUCUGCCAAGAGUACAGGGUUUGGGGAGACAGACCCAGUAGGUUGGGCAGUAGUAGCCCAUAAGCCUAGCUCAUUUGCUCAGACUGAUUUGGGGAUGAUGAGAUAUCUCUUUCCCUGGACCUUUGCAGGCCCAGUAACAGGUGAGUCUGGUUGGACAGGCCUUUCCAUUGUCACUCAGGCUUGGGUCUUCAGAGGAUACUGAAUAUCCUUGGUACUCCAUUCAGCCCCUACAGGGCAGUCUGUUCAGCACAUCCUCUGAUGUGUCCCCAGCUGCUGCCCAAGCAUUCAGUCCCUCCUUAGGUCUUUUUGGCUUCAGAAUCAUCUCUUUGGGAUGGUUACCACUCCAGGUGUUCCAGCAGCCAUACUUGAGGACAGGGAGUUUGCUUUUGUCCAAUUGGAAAGUAUCUCUGCAGAAAUGCAGACAGAUGAAACCACCUGCUCAUUACAGGGCAUAGAGGCUGCCACCAUGGGGUGCAAGUGAGGUCCCACCAGCACAUACAGGCUUGAGAGGGGAAGAGCUGGUUUAGGGUGUAAGAGGUUGGGAAAUCAUAGUCUGAUCAGUGCAGGUGGUGGUUCUAGGAAAAGGCCCUUCCUGUACCCUCCCCACCAAGAGCUGCUCUCAGGCAAUGAUUCCAUCAGUACAAUUGCUGCUGCUAGGCCUAGGAGCAGAGGAAGGAGGCCUGAGGCUCUUGCGAGUCCUGAGGAGUGAGGCUAGCUGAGAGGUGGGCAGAGCAGGCUAUGUCCACCGAGGCCCAGUGUCUCUGCAUCAGAGUGCUACUCACUCCCUACCACUUUGUCUCUUUUCCCUCUAGUUUCUAGGGGCAGCUAGCGCGACAGUUGGGGCUUGGCCUGUCUAAGUCUGAGGUCCUUGCCAUUCCCACUUGCUCUGGUGAGGUUGGCAGAUGAGACUCCAGGAUGUGUGUGACCACAGCUGCCACCAGCACUGCCCAGCAGCUGACUUACUAGAGAGGCACCCCAGAAUCUUGAGACUGGGUCAGAGCUGCAAACCCUUGGCCUCCUCAUGGAGCUGAGCAGAGCCAGACCCACCAGGGCGUGUGGGAGGCUGGUACCAGGUAUGAGCACUGCCUCCUUUUCCUUGCAGAGGAGCAGGGACGUGUCGUCUCUCCGGCUGCACGCGGCCCGCCAAGGUGCCCGCUGCCGUCCCCAGCGCCCACGACGCACCACCUACUGAGGCGGCCCCAGCGGCCUCUGACCGGGCUUCCAGCCACGCAGGCCGCCACUGGCCACAGGGCAGGGGCAGCAGAGAAGGUUACAGCAGGCAGAACUGGGAGAGCUAAUGAAGAUCAGAACCACUUUUUAAGAAUCAGCAGUUUGUUAUUUAACAAAGGUGGGACUCAGGGUGAACAGACCACUGCCCAGAACCAGACAGCUGGAGACAGGCCCUCUGGUGCUCCUCUACACACAGGACUGUUUUACCUUCUCAGGCAGAAGGAGCGCUUUGUCCCCUAGACGAGGGGUGACUGGCAAUGUAGGAGACCAGGGCAGAGGUGGGGGUGGAUGGUGGGGCCAGGGAGGACCCUGCAGGCAGCACCCACCUGCCAGCCCGUCCCAGCCCUGCCCUCUGAUUAAAGUCGUGUUGUCUCCUAAGUGUGGGUUUCUAGGUCCUUGGCCACAGUGGGGGCGGGGAGGCACAGGCUGCUCGGGCUCAGCAGGCUGGGGCCCUGGUCUGCCGGCUGGUAACUGUGCGGCUUCCUUGGCUUCACCGCAGAUCCACUUUGGAACGACACGGUUCCCACCCCGCCACCUCUCCCCGCAAAACACUGACCCGCUGACCAGGCAGCCAGAGCUGAGCAGAUGGCCCCGCCUCAGCUGGUCCUGUUUGUGAAAUAAAUAUGAGCGUUGCCAGUC